rnacentral:lncRNA from 13 species
UCUGUUCAAAAGAUUCCGUUUCCCUCCAAUUAAGGCACAGCUCCUCCAAUCCUCUUCCACUUUCAUAUCCAUAUUUAUGUGUAUAUACAUGUGUAUAUGACAUUAUACGAAAUGAAUAGGCAAGUAUAUAUAUACAUUAUAUCUGUCUUUAUAACUCCUGUUGCAUUCAGAAGGCAGUAUCAUGUAGAUGUAUUGUUUGCUCUGAUCCACUAUGGGAAUUGCCUAAUCGUUUGUUCAUAGAGGGAACAUGGGACCGGGACAGGAAGUUGUGAUGUUUCUGAUAUAUGAUCUUUCACCGCGGUAAAGAAAGAUAUUGGGUUUUUAUUACUGAUGUUAUAAAUGUAUUGUUAUUAUUGAUUCAUUUAACUGUUUUAUUGUUAUAAUUUUUUUUUGUACAUAAUAUUGUUUUCCUCGUGUUGUUUACUUGUUUUUAUUUAUUUUCAUUGUUGUGGUUUUUAAUUUGAUUUGACAUUGAAGAUGAUUAUAACACAGUACGGGAGAGGAAUCCAUUGAAAGAAAAAGAAAGAAAUGAGGACUGUUCCUUGUCAUAUGGACAUGGACUUGUCUUUGGGAACCGUCCGUCUCUGUCCAAGAUGGAAUGUGGAGAUUCCAAAAUUCGGCGUUGGAAGGGAAAAAUUGGAAUAUUCUAGAAUAUUUAUAUCAGGUGAUUCCAUAAUGCAUUUGAUCAAUGAAACCAGUAGCAACACAUCAUAUAAUUUGAGCCGCCACGAGUGUAUGCACGCAUGUAUGUGUGUGUGUGUGUGUGUGUGUAUGUGUGUGUUUUUAAUUGACACAAGAGAAAUACACUCCAGUUUCUCAAUAGCAUCUGAAUGUAUUCUAACUGGAGAGACAGAGAGAGAGACAGAUAAAGACAGAUAGAGGGAGACUGAGAGAGAGAGAGAGCGAGAGAGAGAGACAGAGAGAGAGAGACAGAUAAAGAUCGAUAGAGAAAGACAGAUAGAGAGACAGAGAGAGAGACAGAGAGAGAGACAGAUAGAGAGAGGAGAGAGACAGAUAGAGNNNNNNNNNNNNNNNNNNNNNNNNNNNNNNNNNNNNNNNNUUGUAGAGAAUAGUGUUCCAGUGUAGAGAAUAGGGUGCCAGUGUAGGGAAUAGGGCUCCUGUGUAGAGAAUAGUGUUCCAGUGUAGAGAAUAGUGUUCCAGUGUAGAGAAUAGGGUGCCAUUUGGGAUUCACACAGUGUGUUGUAUAUUUUAAUAAGACUCCUCUGAUAGGCAAAUGUUUAAUGGAUGGUUUGAAUAUAUUUUGAAUAUUCUAUUUUAAUAGUUAGAACUCUGGCACUAACAAUAACAGCCAAGGAAUCAAUUAUUUCCCACGCAGUUUUAUGGCUGUGGAGGGUGAAAGGAGUAUACAUCCAACUCAUCUAAUUAUGAGAACACAUGCCCUCAGUACAUUUUCACACUGAUAUCUUAAU